rnacentral:rRNA from 1 species
GACGUAGGGUGCAAGCGUUGUCCGGAUUUACUGGGCGUAAAGAGCGCGUAGGCGGUCCAUUAAGUGUGAAGCUAAAUCUCCCGGCUCAACCGGGAAACUAUUUCGCAUACUGAUGGGCUGGAGUGAUGCAGAGGUGGAUAGAAUUCCCGGUGUAACGGUGAAUGUGUUGAUAUCGGGAGAAUACCCGUGGCGAAGGCGGUCCACUGGGCAUCAACUGACGCUGAGGCGCGAAAGCGUGGGUAGCAAACAGG